GCCCUGAGGUGACCAACUUAAAACAGGUGACUCGUUUUGGAAGCAAAACAAACACAAGAAGGGGAUUUGGGCUGGAGGCAGCUGUGGAUCCUGCACGCUCAGCUGGUGACGCACAAAGAAACAGGUGACGGCGACGGGAUGUUUGCCCUGCAAGGGUGCCGCCACGUGCUUCUUUCCCCUGGAACGAGCUCUCCCAGUAAAAUCUGCACCUGGCCUGGUGGUCUUGGCAACAUCGGACAACCUCUAGCAGAUGUUCUCCUCUCUUUUGUCGAUGACUUCGCGGUGGCUGCUCUGCAAGACAAAACUGCGGAUCAUCUCAUGGCUUCCUCUGCUGCAGAGAUCAUUAAUGAUGAUGAGGCUUUACUCCGUCACUGGAUCCGGGGUGAAAGUUGCCCUUUGGCUGUGUGACAGACAGGAAGAAAGGGACGCUCAGGCUAGUGUGAAGAUGUUUUUUUCCUCACUAAGAGCAGAGUACCCCAGGUCGUUCAAUCUCUACCGUACUGCAUAUUCCUGUUCACCUGACAUUAGGCCCCGGCUCAGUCCCAAAAGCAGCCUGCACCCCGCUGGGUCCAUUCCAUUAUAUACUCCAUGCACACUUUGUCGGUCAUACUAAAAGCCAAGCCUGGGGAGCAAGGAGAGGUUAAAAGGUAAGAAAUGUGCCUCAGCCAAAUGAGCGAGUGGUUUAGGAAGCUGAUUGCUCUGAUCCGAUUGGGCAGAUGGUUGAAUUGUGGUAUCUCUCAUCUUGCUCUACAGUAUAUGGUUAGAUUGGAUAAUUAGGUUCAGGUCAUUGUCUUUACUCUGAAUGUAAGUCAUUAUGAGUCCAUUUAGUUAUUUCCUAUUGUUAUAGAGGUAAUUAGCCUCCCUCAGUGUACCUGACUGCUACAACUAAAGAAAAAAAACCCCAUCAAUGUCUCAAACCUGCUUCUUUUUUUUAGGUGAAAAAAUCAGUGUAGGGAAAUUUUAAGCCCUGCUUUCUUUAUUAGACUAAUGGACAUUCACACCUAAUAAAAGGACUUUUCAGAUAUGAAACAUAUUAAACAGACAGAAAUCCUGAUAUGAGAAGAUGUUGAUUUGAGUGUUAGUGAUGAACGUGCAUGUAGUACAAAAUCAAGUCCUUCUUCUGCUUCAACAUAUCCACUGGUCAGAGCAAAAAGACAGAAAGUAGGCUGAGAAUGUUUUGUUUUUUAUUAAUUUAGUUUUUGAAAGAUGGAGAACUGUAUGUCGAUUCUUUCAACAACCAAGAGCAAUUUCCUCUUGUAACAUCAAUACAGCAGUACUUUGCUCUCAACAGUGCUUUUCAAAAGACCUUGAUGUUAAAGAUUCAACUUGACUGCACCAGUGUCCUUAAAUUAAUUUUAAAAGUAAAACAGUAGUAUUGUGGAAUAUACAGAUUAAAAUAACUCAUUUCUAUUUUAAUAUAUUUAUAUAUAUUUUUAUUCCAGAUUUUUUCCAGUGUCACAUGAUUUAAAACCCAUUUCUCCUUAAGUCAAAGCCAUUAGUUUCUUAUCAUAAACAGUACAGGACAAAUUACAUUGUGAAGAUGGUAAACAUGUCUAACCACAAGAAUAAUGAUAUUUGCUACAACAUCCAUCUUUCUAGUUUGAGCACAGUGGUUGGAUUCCUCCACUCAUGCAGUACAGCACCUGUGAAUCACAUGGGUGACAGAGAGGUCAGGGUCGUAUGUAGACAGAGGAUUUUGUGCGGAGACUACGGUGACUGUCUGUCACACAAAGACAAAUACUGUUUUCCCUGUAAAACAGGCAUAUGAAAUGGUUUCGCAGCCAGCCAAACUUCCCGAAUCCUCUUCUAUGGAGAGAUGCCAAACCACAGAAGAGAGAAUAAGGGAAGCCAAGAAGAAGAGAAAGAAAGAGCUGAAAGAGAAAAAUAGAGACAGGUGAGGAGUGAAGAGAGACAGAGACUGUGUGUGUUUGGGUCUCUAAAUGGCUCACUUAAUAGAGUUUACAGUUAGAAUAAAUCUAGACCUUAAUUUUGUCUUUUUUUUCUACUUAACAUCGCUUAAGAAAAAAAUGCUGUUUGCAUGUAUUUGCUGAAGGUGAUAAGGUAUAUUUUGAUGCAUUAGAGCUGACCAGUAAACCAAUAAUCAAGCAGAAAACAAUCAACAGGCUGUAAAAGUCUUUUCAAGUAUAUAUAUUUAAAUAAUAUGAAUAUGAAUAGCCUAUUAGUGUCUGAACAUUAAAAGUCAAGAAUAUGAAAUGGCCUUAAAAAAUAAUAGCCGAAGUUUGAGAAAUCUUCCACCCCCUGAAACACAAGUUGAUUACCGAGAACGGAGGGCAGCCGCACGCAGGGUUCAAUUAGUCAACCAAUUAGCGCUGGUCCGAGCGCGGCGGGAGCGCGCCUCUGUGUGACCGACAGGUCUCGCCGAGCAGCCGUUACAGCGCUAGCGUCCGUAGCCAGCUUGAUUUCUGGGGUUCCGGUGGGCAGUCAGGAUGUUAUUAUCGAGGUCUGGAGUCAGCAGCUUAAGUGGCGACCUGGUUUAGAUUCGAGACGCACACAGCGCAGCGGUGCGAUGAACACGAGAUCAACGCCACUUAUAACGUGCGACAAAUGUGGGCUCUCGCGCACGCAGGUCCAAUUCCAAAAAAAAAUCAAAAAGGUUCCAAAAGGAAGUUUUGGCAGUAAUUAGCCAUUUUUGGUCCCCCCCAAAACCUUUCAUUGAACGGUUCUUAAAAUAUAUAUAUUUUUCAAAGUGAAGAUUUCAUAAUCUGAAGAAACAUUUUCCACAUUCCACAUUUUCACAAAAAUAACCUCUUUUAUUCAAUGGAGAGGUUCCAAUAAUGGUUCUUUAUGGAAUCAUGG
rnacentral:lncRNA from 1 species